CUCUCUCAGCUUCCUCUGCACCCAUGUCUGACAAACCCCAUAUGGCUGAGAUUGAGAAAGUCGGUAAGUCGAAAUUGAAGAAGACAGAAACGCGAGAGAAAAAUCCUUCAAAAGAAAUGAUUGAGCAGGAGAAGCAAGCAGGCAAAUCGUAAUGAGGCACGCGCCGCCAAUAUGCACUGUACAUCCCACAAGCAUUGCCUUCUUAUUUUACUUCUUUUAGCUGUUUAACUUUGUAAGAUGCAAAGAGGUUGGAUCAGUUUAAGUGACUGUGCUGCCCCUUUUCACAUCAGAACUACUGACAACGAAGGCCGCACCUGCCGCUCCCAUCUGCCUGGCUGGCGGGGAAGGGGACAGCUUGCAUGUUGGUGAAGGAAGGAGCUGGGUGGGACGAGGGUGAAAUCUAGAGUUAAAACCAAGCUGGUCCAAGGGGUCCUGCGGGCUGUAAAAUGCAGUUUAAUCAGAGUGCCAUUUUUUUUUUUUGUUCAAAUGAUUUUAAUUAUUGGAAUGCACAAUUUUUUUAAUAUGCAAAUAAAAAGUUUUAAAAC